rnacentral:tRNA from 1 species
AUGACUAUGGCGGAACGGUAUACGCGGUUAAUUUAGGUUUAAUUUAUUAUGGGUUCAAAUCCCAUUAGUCAUA